rnacentral:rRNA from 1 species
AUUGAACGCUGGCGGCAGGCCUAACACAUGCAAGUCGAACGGUAACAGGAAGACGCUUGCUUCUUUGCUGACGAGUGGCGGACGGGUGAGUAAUGUCUGGGAAACUGCCUGACGGAGGGGGAUAACUACUGGAAACGGUAGCUAAUACCGCAUAACGUCGCAAGACCAAAGAGGGGGACCUUCGGGCCUCUUGCCAUCGGAUGUGCCCAGAUGGGAUUAGCUAGUAGGUGGGGUAACGGCUCACCUAGGCGACGAUCCCUAGCUGGUCUGAGAGGAUGACCAGCCACACUGGAACUGAGACACGGUCCAGACUCCUACGGGAGGCAGCAGUGGGGAAUAUUGCACAAAGGGCGCAAGCCUGAUGCAGCCAUGCCGCGUGUAUGAAGAAGGCCUUCGGGUUGUAAAGUACUUUCAGCGGGGAGGAAGGGAGUAAAGUUAAUACCUUUGCUCAUUGACGUUACCCGCAGAAGAAGCACCGGCUAACUCCGUG